GUGCUUGCUUUGGCAGCACAUAUACUAAAAUUGGAACGGUACAGAGAAAAUUAAUAUGGUCCUUGUUCAAGGAUGACAUGCAAAUUCGUGAAGCAUUCCAUAUUUAG
ensembl:snRNA U6 U6 spliceosomal RNA